UUUUUAAUUGACAUAGACCAAGUCCUCUAGUAAAACUAGUAAAAUGAGGAUGA
rnacentral:tRNA from 1 species